rnacentral:rRNA from 1 species
UACGGGAGGCAGCAGUAGGGAAUCUUCCGCAAUGGACGAAAGUCUGACGGAGCAACGCCGCGUGAACGAUGAAGGCUUUCGGGUCGUAAAGUUCUGUUGUUAGGGAAGAACAAGUACCAGAGUAACUGCUGGUACCUUGACGGUACCUAACCAGAAAGCCACGGCUAACUACGUGCCAGCAGCCGCGGUAAUACGUAGGUGGCAAGCGUUGUCCGGAAUUAUUGGGCGUAAAGCGCGCGCAGGUGGUCCUUUAAGUCUGAUGUGAAAGCCCACGGCUCAACCGUGGAGGGUCAUUGGAAACUGGGGACUUUGAGUGCAGAAGAGGAAAGUGGAAUUCCACGUGUAGCGGUGAAAUGCGUAGGGAUGUGGAGGAACACCAGUGGCGAAGGCGACUUUUCUGGUCUGUAACUGACACUGAGGCGCGAAAGCGUGGGGAGCGAACAGGGAUUAGAUACC